AAAUGAAUUGACGGGGACCCGCACAAGCAGCGGAGCAUGUGGUUUAAUUCGAAGCAACGCGAAGAACCUUACCAAGGCUUGACAUCCCCUUGACCGGCACAGAGAUGUGCCCUCUCCUUCGGGAGCAAGGGUGACAGGUGGUGCAUGGUUGUCGUCAGCUCGUGUCGUGAGAUGUUGGGUUAAGUCCCGCAACGAGCGCAACCCUUAUCUUUAGUUGCCAGCAUUUAAGGUGGGCACUCUAAAGAGACUGCCGAUGAUAAAUCGGAGGAAGGUGGGGAUGACGUCAAAUCAUCAUGCCCCUUAUGUCUUGGGCUACACACGUGCUACAAUGGUCGGCACAACGGGGAGCGAAGGAGUGAUCUGGAGCAAAUCCCAAUAAACCGAUCCCAGUUCGGAUUGUAGGCUGCAACUCGCCUACAUGAAGUCGGAGUUGCUAGUAAUCGCGAAUCAGAACGUCGCGGUGAAUGCGUUCCCGGGUCUUGCACACACCGCCCGU
rnacentral:rRNA from 1 species